AACAUUGUAUAUCCUGCAUGUACUAGUUGUCAAUCAUUUCCAGCAGGGUGUAUAUUGUACGAGAGGUCUGAUUCUUUGAGUUGUGAAGCAUUUUCAUGAAAGAUCCAGGUUUGGAGUCGAUUUCGAUUGUGUGACUUCACUUCUGACUGCGACAUUAGUCGGAGGUAACUGACUGCGACAUUAACCAGAAGUAGAGAAAUACGAAGUAGUGACAACGAGACAAAAUAUCCUUCUUACCAGAGAGCCGGCGGUAAGAAGCAGCUGUUCAAAGGCAUUCACGGUGUAAAGUGUCGAUGGUAAAAUAUCAGCCUAGUCAUGGUAGAACAACUAGAUCAAAACAGCUCGACACUAACCACUCAGGUCUUCUCUGAAGACGCUGAAAAUAUCAGU